rnacentral:rRNA from 1 species
UACGUAGGGUCCGAGCGUUGUCCGGAAUUACUGGGCGUAAAGGGCGUGUAGGCGGUCCGCUAAGUCAGGUGUGAAAGGCCUGGGCUCAACCCAGGAAAUGCGCCUGAGACUGACGGACUUGAGUCCGGGAGAGGAUGGUGGAACUCCCAGUGUAGAGGUGAAAUUCGUAGAUAUUGGGAAGAACACCCGUGGCGAAGGCGGCCAUCUGGACCGGUACUGACGCUAAGGCGCGACAGCGUGGGGAGCAAACAGG